rnacentral:rRNA from 1 species
AGAGUUUGAUCAUGGCUCAGGAUGAACGCUGGCGGCGUGCUUAACACAUGCAAGUCGAACGGUCGUAGCAAUACGAUAGUGGCGCACGGGUGAGGAACACGUAGCUAACCUGCCCCCAAGUACGGGAUAACUUCCCGAAAGGGAUGCUAAUACCGUAUAAGCUCACGCCGAGUAGGUAGGUGUGAGAAAAGGUUUACUGCUUGGGGAGGGGGCUGCGGCCCAUCAGGUAGUUGGUGAGGUAACGGCUCACCAAGCCGACGACGGUAGGGGGCCUGAGAGGAUGGCCCCCACACUGGGACUGAGACACGGCCCAGACUCCUACGGGAGGCAGCAGUGAGGGAUAUUGCGCAAUGGGGGAAACCCUGACGCAGCGACGCCGCGUGGGUGAUGAAGGCCUUCGGGUCGUAAAACCCUUUUGCCACUGACGAGGAAGGACGGUAGGUGGCGAAUAAGCCUCGGCUAACUACGUG